rnacentral:rRNA from 1 species
GAAAUUCGCCUACAUGAAGCUGGAAUUGCUAGUAAUCACAGGUCAGCAUACUGUGGUGAAUACGUUCCCGGGCCUUGUACACACCGCCCGUCACACCAUGAGAGUUGAGAAUACCCGAAGCCCAUGUCAAAGUGGUCGAAGGUAGGCUUGAUGAUUGGGGUGAAGUCGUAACAAGGUAGC